rnacentral:rRNA from 1 species
GACGAACGCUGGCGGCGCGCUUAACACAUGCAAGUCGAACGGAAAGGCCUGCUUUCCCUUGUGGAUUGCGGGUACUCGAGUGGCGAACGGGUGAGUAACACGUGAGUGAUCUGCCCCCAACUUGGGUAUAAGCCUGGGAAACUGGGUCUAAUUCCCGAUAGGACUGCAGGGUGGUGCCUGUGGUGGAAAACGAUUUUCUAGUGGUUGGGGAUGAGCUCGCGGCCUAUCAGCUUGUUGGUGGGGUAAUGGCCUACCAAGGCGGCGACGGGUAGCCGGCCUGGGAGGGUGGACGGCCACAUUGGGACUGAGAUACGGCCCAGACUCCUACGGAGGCAGCAGUGGGGAGUAUUGCACAAUGGGCGGAAGCCUGAUGCAGCGACGCCGCGUGGGGGAUGACGGCCUCCGGGUUGUAAACUCCUUUCGACCGCGAGGAAGCCACCUGGUUGGAAGGGUGGUGACGGUAGUGGUAGAAGAAGCACCGGCUAACUACGUG